rnacentral:lncRNA from 1 species
GAUUGAAAUACUAAUCUGUGUUACAAACAGGUGCUGAAAAAUGUACAUUAUCAGAAAAUAAUCAAUAAAUGUGUUUUAAAGUUACACCGGAUCAAUUAAAUCCAAAACAUGCACUGCUUGUGAACUGUCAUCAAAAUGUCAAUUUCCUACAAUGACAAAAGAAAUUACAUUGUGUACAUUCCAUCUCUAGACAUGUUGUCUGUUCAAAGUCCC